GAUGAACGCUGGCGGCAUGCCUAACAAAUGCAAGUCGAUCGGUAAGGCUCUUCGGAGUACACGAGAGGCGGACGGCUGAGUAACGCGUAGGAACACACCCUGCAGUGAGGGAUAAGACACCGAAAGGUGUUCUAAUACCGCAUACGGUCUUCGGAUUAAAGCAUUUAUGCGCUGAAGGAGUGGCCUGCGUCAUAUUAGAUAGUUGGUGAGGUAAUGGCUCACCAAGUCGAUGAUGUGUAGCUGGUCUGAGAGGAUGAUCAGCCAGACUGGAACUGAGACACGGUCCAGACUCCUACGGGAGGCAGCAGUGAGGAAUAUUUCACAAUGAGCGAAAGCUUGAUGGAGCAAUGCCGCGUGCAGGAUGAAGGCCCUCGGGUUGUAAACUGCUUUUAUAAGAGAAGAUUAUGACGGUAACUUAUGAAUAAGGGACGGCUAACUACGUG
rnacentral:rRNA from 1 species